GAACAAAGGUUAGUGGCUCAUUGUCACAUGCUGAUCAGCAGCAGACAUCCUGACUGACAGUUACGACCACCCUGUUUACAGAUUGUCCUAUAGAUACUGGGCCCUGGGACAUUUGGAUGGGCAAACAGCAGAUGGCUGAGUAACCUCGCCCUAUUACUGAUUGUCCAUUGUCCCGAGGCAAACACACUCCAACCAUCAAAUUUACAACAGAAUCUCCCCCUUCUGCCCCCCAGCCUGUGUCCUUGGUGGUCUGGACGUUCCUUUGGUUACCUCCAUGCUCUGAGCUCUCCUCCCAGCGCUGGGGGAUCUGGGAGCUGGUGUGGCCCGGCCCGGGCGCCCUUUCCAUCCUGCUCCCUUGCAGGGAUGGGCUGUACCAGAGCCCAGGUUGAGCCUGUGCACUCUGGGGCCUGGCUGAGGACAGCGACUACACAGUGCAGCUCCAGCCCAGGGGACAUCACCGUGGAGGGUCUUGAUGGAGAGCAGCCGCUUCAGACCGGGGAAGUGGUCAUCAUCGUGGUGGUGUUGCUCAUGUGGGCUGAAAAAGUCACCAUCCAUCAACACCAUCGAUGUGUGAGCAAACUGUUUGAGUGAAGAAACAGAACCAGAAGAGAGCUGCACUGACAACGUGGGGAUGAGGGUCCAGGGAAGAGUCACUUGUUCAACCCUAUCCCAUUAGGUCCCAAAUGGGGGCCCUGUCUCACCUGCAUCAGGACACUUGGCAUCCCCGGCUACCCCGCCAUCUUGCCUCUGGGCCUCGGAGAGGGGUGUUUCUGUGGGUCCUUAGCCUCCCCCAGCAAAUAAAAGGAAUCAACUGGGCCUAGAGGCAGACGUUACACUGCACUAGUGCAAUGUCUUCCAUGGAGCCUCUGGUGCUCCCCGUCACCUGGUAGUCCCCCAGCUGCUGGUGAUCUCACCCCUUGGACAUUUUUCCAAUAAAGGUUCUUGAACAAACUGGAGCUGACUGUUGGUAUGCUGAAGACCUCUCCCUACUGGUCUCUCACCUGACUCUCCAUGGCCCCUCACAUCACCAACAACUUGUGAGGUGCAGACUCAUUGUAAGGUGUUUGUUUCAACUCUUCAGCCUGAAAUGGGAGGGAAGGGACCAGGAAGAAAGGCCAGAGAAAACCACAGCCCUAGUUUCUUUUGCUUUGUUGGGUGCAAGGGGUAGAGGAGAGAAGAGAAAGGUGUAAGUUCUUCCUGUGCUAGUGGAAACUGUUAUGUCACAUGAGAGGGGCAGUGGUUUAUUUACUGCUUCCAUCACUAGCCGAACUCCUCACCGUUAAUUCUUCUGCAUCUUCCAUCAACCCUGGGCAAAUGGUCCAGAAAAGGACUGAGCAGUGUCUUUGGGAUAAUCAAAGAGCAGCUACACUAAUGGAUCCCUCAGUCUCACAUGCUUCUAUCCUGUGUUCUCAUGACUCUCCUUCCUGCCUUUGUUUUCCUUCUCAUCUCCAUCUCUGUCUCUGUUCAUAAAAGCAAUAAUAAUUGUCAUGCAUAAAUGAGUUUAUAAUCGUCAUACACCACCAUAUCCAGAGAAAGAUUCUGGCAAUAAAAUUGAGGGGCUUAGGACUGGGGAUUUAGCUCAGUGGUUCUGUCAUCUGCCUUGCAAGUGCAAGGACCUGAGUUCAAUCCUUGGUACAAAAAAAAAAAAAAAAAAAUUGAGGGGUUGGGAAAAAGGAACUAUACUUUGGCUCUAGGACCUAUUUGUUUCCUGUGAAAAUAGAGCUAUCCUUUACUUUUUCCUAAUUUCCAAGAGGGAGUUCAUGGCAGUGAGAAGUGCAGCUGUUAACACCGGCAACUAUGUGUUGAGAGGCUUCUGGACCCAGAAUCUGGGUUACAGGUCUUCCCGACCUCAGGUAUCCCAGAGGAGGCUUAUGAAUAACUCCUUCCCUGUGUUUCAUUCUCUCUGGUAUGUUACAAGAAAUAAAACCCCCAAAAGAAGUUAGACCAAAAAUUCUGAAAGGACACCAAUCCAAACAAAAACCAAGAAGUCAGUAUCUUUUUUUUUUCUUUGAUCAAGCUCCAAUCCCAGGUAUUGCAAGACUUAAACCUCUCAAGCAAGCCAUGCUAUGGUCUGCCCUGCCACCUGACCCAUAAAAGCACCCCAAUCUAAGCAGCGGUCCUUAAUUCACCAUUACUCAAUGUCCAAGAAGCAUACCUUUCCUUUCCCUGGCUAUUGGUUCCAAAACACUUCUCUCUCAGACUCUGGAAACCAUCAUUUCUUGGGACAGGAGCGUUAUGGGCUAUAGCAAGCCCGGCACGGAGACAGCUAAGACUUAAGAAAGAAUAUAAAAAGGGUAUUUAUGCUCUAGGUUGAAUCUCAGUUCCACGUUUUAGAGUCUUUGUUUACUUGGCAAAGGUCACGUUAAUCCUGAGUCUCCCGUCAUGUAAAUCGGGACUAAUAAUAACUUUCCUUUUCAAAAGGUAAUUGAACAAUACAAUGCAUGAUCAUCUGGCACAGAACCAGGUAGACACAUACUCGCUGUAAACUGUCAGUAUUACACUUGUGAUUCCAUGCAAGUCAUAUAACUCAUUUCAAGACUGUCGAUUACUUUUGCCUGUCAUAGCAACGGCUGUUUCCGAGAGUUUGAGGAGUAAGAGUGCACUCAGCCACACUGACGUCCGUACAUCAACGAGCAAGAAAGACGAUUCUGGCUACGUAGUACCCGGAGUUUGCGGAAUACUUUGUGGGCGUGGCUUGGUCUUGGGUUUGCAUACAGCGACGGGAUUGGUC
rnacentral:lncRNA from 1 species